rnacentral:lncRNA from 1 species
GAGAAUGAAUGGAAACCAGCUGAUAUAUUCAGUACUCUGGGGGAAAGGGAAUGUGAUAGAAGUUCGUUGGAAGCAAAAAAAGCCCAGUGGAGGAAAGAGCUAGAUGAACAGGUUGCUUUAAAGAAGAAAGAAAAAGAAGUUUCUGAAAAAUGGAAUGAUCCUUGGAAAAAAUCUGAAAGUGAUAAAAUAAUAUGGGAAAAACAUCAAAUUCUUGACCAAUCUAGGGUAAGACAUCUUAAUUGCAAUUUUUAAAAUACUAAGCAGUGUUCAUAUUAUAGAAUUUAUUUUUAAAGCUUAUUAAA